AAUUGGAGGGCAAGUCUGGUGCCAGCAGCCGCGGUAAUUCCAGCUCCAAUAGCGUAUAUUAAAGUUGUUGCAGUUAAAAAGCUCGUAGUUGAAUUUCGGGAUCAAUAUUUCGGUCAUGCCGUUGGUAUGCACUGUUAUCAUUGAUUUCUCACCUUCUAAAGAACCGUAAUGCCAUUAAUUUGGUGUUACGGGGAAUUAGGACUGUUACCUUGAAAAAAUUAGAGUGUUUAAAGCAGGCUCACGCUUGAAUACAUUAGCAUGGAAUAAUGAAAUAGGACAUCCGAUUCUAUUUUGUUGGUUUCUAGGAUCGAUGUAAUGAUUAAUAGGGAUAGUUGGGGGCAUUAGUAUUCAAUUGUCAGAGGUAAAAUUCUUGGAUUUAUUGAAGACUAACUACUGCGAAAGCAUUUGCCAAGGAUGUUUUCAUUAAUCAAGAACGAAAGUUAGGGGAUCGAAGACGAUCAGAUACCGUCGUAGUCUUAACCAUAAACUAUGCCGACUAGGGAUCGGAUGAUGUUAAUUUUUUAAUGACUCAUUCGGCGCCUUACGGGAAACCAAAGUGU
rnacentral:rRNA from 1 species